UUCGUAGGGGGCUAGCGUUGUCCGGAUUUACUGGGCGUAAAGGGAGCGUAGGCGGACUUUUAAGUGAGAUGUGAAAUACCCGGGCUCAACUUGGGUGCUGCAUUUCAAACUGGAAGUCUAGAGUGCAGGAGAGGAGAAUGGAAUUCCUAGUGUAGCGGCGAAAUGCGUAGAGAUUAGGAAGAACACCAGUGGCGAAGGCGAUUCUCUGGACUGUAACUGACGCUGAGGCUCGAAAGCGUGGGGAGCAAACAGGAUUAGAUACCCUGGUA
rnacentral:rRNA from 1 species